rnacentral:rRNA from 1 species
AGAGUUUGAUCCUGGCUCAGAUUGAACGCUGGCGGCAUGCUUUACACAUGCAAGUCGAACGGCAGCACGGGGGCAACCCUGGUGGCGAGUGGCGAACGGGUGAGUAAUAUAUCGGAACAUGUCCGGAAGUGGGGGAUAACGUACCGAAAGGUACGCUAAUACCGCAUAUGCCCUGAGGGGGAAAGGGGGGGACCGCAAGACCUCUCGCUUUCGGAGUGGCCGAUAUCGGAUUAGCUGUCUGAGAGGACGACCAGCCACACUGGAACUGAGACACGGUCCAGACUCCUACGGGAGGCAGCAGUGGGGAAUUUUGGACAAUGGGCGCAAGCCUGAUCCAGCCAUGCCGCGUGAGUGAAGAAGGCCUUCGGGUUGUAAAGCUCUUUCAGCCGGAAAGAAAACGCACGGGUUAAUACCUUGUGUGGAUGACGGUACCGGAAGAAGAAGCACCGGCUAACUACGUGCCAGCAGCCGCGGUAAUACGUAGGGUGCGAGCGUUAAUCGGAAUUACUGGGCGUAAAGCGUGCGCAGGCGGUUUUGUAAGACAGACGUGAAAUCCCCGGGCUUAACCUGGGAACUGCGUUUGUGACUGCAAGACUAGAGUGUAGCAGAGGGGGGUAGAAUUCCACGUGUAGCAGUGAAAUGCGUAGAGAUGUGGAGGAAUACCGAUGGCGAAGGCAGCCCCCUGGGCUAACACUGACGCUCAUGCACGAAAGCGUGGGGAGCAAACAGGAUUAGAUACCCUGGUAGUCCACGCCCUAAACGAUGUCAACUAGGUGUUGGGGAAGGAGACUUCUUUAGUACCGCAGCUAACGCGUGAAGUUGACCGCCUGGGGAGUACGGUCGCAAGAUUAAAACUCAAAGGAAUUGACGGGGACCCGCACAAGCGGUGGAUUAUGUGGAUUAAUUCGAUGCAACGCGAAAAACCUUACCUACCCUUGUCAUGUCAGGAAGAUUGCAGAGAUGCGAUUGUGCCCGAAAGGGAACCUGAACACAGGUGCUGCAUGGCUGUCGUCAGCUCGUGUCGUGAGAUGUUGGGUUAAGUCCCGCAACGAGCGCAACCCUUGUCAUUAAUUGCCAUCAUUUGGUUGGGCACUUUAAUGAGACUGCCGGUGAUAAACCGGAGGAAGGUGGGGAUGACGUCAAGUCCUCAUGGCCCUUAUGGGUAGGGCUUCACACGUAAUACAAUGGUCGGUACAGAGGGUUGCCAACCCGCGAGGGGGAGCUAAUCUCAGAAAGCCGAUCGUAGUCCGGAUCGGAGUCUGCAACUCGACUCCGUGAAGUCGGAAUCGCUAGUAAUCGCGGAUCAGCAUGUCGCGGUGAAUACGUUCCCGGGUCUUGUACACACCGCCCGUCACACCAUGGGAGUGGAAUCUGCCAGAAGUAGGUAGCCUAACCGCAAGGAGGGCGCUUACCACGGUGGGUUUCAUGACUGGGGUGAAGUCGG